AUACGGAGGAUCCGAGCGUUAUCCGGAUUUAUUGGGUUUAAAGGGAGCGUAGGCGGACGCUUAAGUCAGUUGUGAAAGUUUGCAGCUCAACCGUAAAAUUGCAGUUGAUACCGGGUGUCUUGAGUACAGUAGAGGCAGGCGGAAUUUGUGGGGGAGCGGGGAAAUGCUUAGAUAUCACGAAGAACUCCGAUUGCGAAGGCAGCCUGCUGGACUGUAACUGACGCUGAUGCUCGAAAGUGUGGGUAUCAAACAGGAUUAGAUACCCUGGUAGUCCACACAGUAAACGAUGAAUACUCGCUGUUUGCGAUAUACAGUAAGCGGCCAAGCGAAAGCGUUAAGUAUUCCACCUGGGGAGUACGCCGGCAACGGUGAAACUCAAAUGAAUUGACGGG
rnacentral:rRNA from 1 species